rnacentral:rRNA from 1 species
UACAGAGGUCUCAAGCGUUGUUCGGAUUCAUUGGGCGUAAAGGGUGCGUAGGCGGCGCGGAAAGUUGGGUGUGAAAUCCCUCGGCUCAACCGAGGAACUGCGCUCAAUACUACCGUGCUCGAGGGAGAUAGAGGUGAGCGGAACUUAGGGUGGAGCGGUGAAAUGCGUUGAUAUCCUAAGGAACACCGGUGGCGAAAGCGGCUCACUGGAUCUCUUCUGACGCUGAGGCACGAAAGCUAGGGUAGCGAACGGG